rnacentral:rRNA from 1 species
GACAGAGGGUGCAAACGUUGCUCGGAAUCACUGGGCGUAAAGCGCACGUAGGCGGAUUGCUAAGUCAGGGGUGAAAUCCUGGAGCUCAACUCCAGAACUGCCUUUGAUACUGGCGAUCUUGAGUCCGGGAGAGGUGAGUGGAACUGCGAGUGUAGAGGUGAAAUUCGUAGAUAUUCGCAAGAACACCAGUGGCGAAGGCGGCUCACUGGCCCGAUACUGACGCUGAGGUGCGAAAGCGUGGGGAGCAAACAGG